rnacentral:tRNA from 1 species
AGGGGCAUAGCUCAACUGGUAGAGUAGUGGUCUCCAAAACCAUUGGCUGCGGGUUCGAGUCCUGCUGCCCCUGCCA